ACGUUAGCUAGGCAUUUCUGCGAGAUGGAGUGGCCUGUGCUCGUCUUCCUCGAUUCCCACCACCCAAACAAGCCUGAGCCUCCUUAUCCGCCUCACUGCGUUGUAGGAUCAGGGGAGGAGGAUCUGGUUCCAGGUUAGGGUGCUUUGCGAAAAAGCUAAGGAGGUUUUAAUGGAAGAAAGCAAUGUUCAGGCCAACUGUUCAAUCUGUUCAAAGCUCACAAAGAUCCUAGACAAAAUCCAAUUGCUUAUUCCUGCAAUAGAUUGAGAAAGACAAGCUACUUCUUCAGUAUUAUGGU